AGAGUUUGAUCAUGGCUCAGAACGAACGCUGGCGGCGUGCUUAACACAUGCAAGUCGAACGGGCUCUUCGGAGCUAGUGGCGGACGGGUGAGUAAUACAUAGGAAAUCUGCCUUUAAGUGGGGGACAACAAUCCGAAAGGGUUGCUAAUACCGCGUAAUGUCGUUGGUUGAAAUGCAAACGAAGAAAGAUUUAUCGCUUUUAGAGGAGCCUAUGCUUGAUUAGCUAGUUGGUGGGGUAAAAGCCUACCAAGGCGACGAUCAAUAGCUGGUCUGAGAGGACGAUCAGCCACACUGGGACUGAGACACGGCCCAGACUUCUACGGAAGGCAGCAGUGGGGAAUUUUCCGCAAUGGGCGCAAGCCUGACGGAGCGACGCCGCGUACGGGAUGAAGUAUUUAGGUAUGUAAACCAUUGUCAGUGGGGACGAAACAAAUGACGGUACCCACAGAGAAG
rnacentral:rRNA from 1 species